CGGCGAAGGGGACGCUGCAACGCGGAGCGGGAGCACGAGGAGGGAAGGGGCUUGGCAAUGGGCCCCAAAGAGGCCGAGACCCCGGGAGUGCCGGCAGCGCUCUUUAUCACGCCUGGAGGCUCCUGCAGAGCCCCGGAACCGCCCGAACCUCCAGAAAUGCAGGCAGGGUGCACUCCCCAGGGGGUACAACUUUGGCAAUGAGGACUACAGAGGUCCGGGGAGAACCGGAGACCCGAGGAGCAUGAAGGCACUCUGUGACAUCACUGCCUACAAACGCAGGGGCCGGAAUGCAGUGACAGGACACUGCUGGGAGGAAAGUCUCCCAGCGCCUCCGUGUGGGGCUGCCUCCACUCCCAAUACCGUGCGGGGGGACUAGGACGACCCUGGUAAGUCAGCCACAGGAUAUCAGUUCUCAGAAUAGAAGAGAAGCCAGGUCUGGCAGCACCUGAUGAUGCAUUUCCAAUUAAUCUUGGAAUGAGAGCCGAGGGCAAGAAGCCAGCGGUGCCUGAGGGAUGCUAAAGAGCCAACCGAUCCAGGGAAACAAAUGCCAGCGAGGGACCCCACAGCAAAGAGACAGACACUGUGAGCAACUCUCCUGUUACCAUGAGGCUUGCGAGGCGUGUGUGCGGGUCUCCGCAUUGGCACCAUCUGCCAAUUCCUCAGGAGGACAGAACAAACCAGUGAGGCAUGAAGAUUAGAUUAUGUAACGCUCGAGGAUUGCUGUUUUCAAAGAGGAAACAAAUGGAAUGAAUUGAUUUGCUUGUCAAAGUCAUGUCACUAAAGGAGAUCUAUUCCCUCCCCUUCUAAGAGGACCUCAUUAAAGAGUGGAAUGAUUUCACAGAUUCAGAAAAUGUGAGACCACAAUCCACUCCAUUCAUAAGAGCAAGUCCACUUUCCAGAGUCACACUCACACAUUCUAUUCUGGUCCCCGGGCCUGAAAAAAUGUCCAUCCAGCUACAACCUAAAGGGUACUGACCUGGUGAGGAACAUAAUUGUCAGCUGCUAGCCAUAAGAUUCAGAGCCGGAGGCCAGGCGUCAUGGCUUAUGCUGGUAAUCCCAGCACUUUGGGAGGCCGAGGUGGGUGGAUCAUGUGAGGUCGGAAGUUCAAGACAGCCUGGCCAACACGGUGAAACCUCGUCUCUACUAAAAAUACAAAAAUUACCUGGGCGUGGUGGCACACACCUGUAACCCCAGCUACUUGGGAGGCCAACGCCUGAGAAUCACUUGAGCCCAAGAGGCAGAGGUUGCAGUGAGCCAAGAUCACACCACCGCACUCCAGCCUGGGG
rnacentral:lncRNA from 1 species